ACACCUGUAGCUCAGAGGAUAGAGCAGUGGUUUCCUAAACCAUGUGUCGGAGGUUCGAGUCCUCUCAGGUGUA
rnacentral:tRNA from 1 species